AGCGAACGCUGGCGGCAGGCCUAACACAUGCAAGUCGAACGAACUCUUCGGAGUUAGUGGCGGACGGGUGAGUAACACGUGGGAACGUGCCUUUUGGUUCGGAAUAACUCAGGGAAACUUGUGCUAAUACCGAAUGUGCCCUUCGGGGGAAAGAUUUAUCGCCAUUAGAGCGGCCCGCGUCUGAUUAGCUAGUUGGUGAGGUAACGGCUCACCAAGGCGACGAUCAGUAGCUGGUCUGAGAGGAUGACCAGCCACACUGGGACUGAGACACGGCCCAGACUCCUACGGGAGGCAGCAGUUGGGGAUCUUGCGCAAUGGGCGGAAGCCUGACGCAGCCAUGCCGCGUGAAUGAUGAAGGUCUUAGGAUUGUAAAAUUCUUUCACCGGGGACGAUAAUGACGGUACCCGGAGAAGAAGCCCCGGCUAACUUCGUG
rnacentral:rRNA from 1 species